AGUCCCUGUCAGGGGAGUCUCGCCAGAGAGACUGAGAGGCUAAUAGCGAUUUUCGCGGCUUAGCGACCCUUAGAACCUGACCCAGCUGAUACUGGCGUAGGAAGACUCGUAUCUUGAUGA
rfam:Erwinia pyrifoliae strain Ep1/96 plasmid pEP36, complete sequence.